rnacentral:rRNA from 1 species
CCUACGGGUGGGCAGCAGUAGGGAAUCUUCCACAAUGGACGAAAGUCUGAUGGAGCAACGCCGCGUGAACGAUGAAGGCCUUCGGGUCGUAAAGUUCUGUUGUAAGGGAAGAACAAGUGCCGCAGGCAAUGGCGGCACCUUGACGGUACCUUGCGAGAAAGCCACGGCUAACUACGUGCCAGCAGCCGCGGUAAUACGUAGGUGGCAAGCGUUGUCCGGAAUUAUUGGGCGUAAAGCGCGCGCAGGCGGCCUCUUAAGUCUGAUGUGAAAGCCCCGGCUCAACCGGGGAGGGCCAUUGGAAACUGGGAGGCUUGAGUAUAGGAGAGAAGAGUGGAAUUCCACGUGUAGCGGUGAAAUGCGUAGAGAUGUGGAGGAACACCGGUGGCGAAGGCGACUCUUUGGCCUAUAACUGACGCUGAGGCGCGAAAGCGUGGGGAGCAAACAGGAUUAGAUACCCUAGUAGUCC